GCAGGUGUGUCUCAGGCCCAAAGGCUCUGUGCAGUCCUGCCUGUGAUUAGAUCUGUGUCUUAGAAACACCAGCCUUAUCAACAUAAACUGGGGAAGGAAGAGACUGAGGAAGGAAGCUGUUGCAUUACUUCAGUGGAAGAUGGUGCCAGUACUUUGUGGAGAGCCACAUGCUCUGAGAUGCUUCUCCUAGUGGGAAGGACUUGCAUCGUUUACAUUUGGAGGUUGCAAUUCUUUCCCAUGUAAGAUGAGGACAAUAAGCCCAAAGAGGAAUGUGAUGUGCCCAAGAUCCUAUUGCUACUAGUAGAUAUCGAUCCUGACUGCACACUGGAAUAACUGAGAUGCAGUUGGGUUGAUCUAGGUUUGCAUCCUAAUCUUCUAUUUACAACCUAUGUGACUUGGGACAAGUUCUUUGUGCCUCAGUUUCCUCAACCGUAAGUAAGAAUAAUGAUGAAACUAUCUCAUGUGUUCAUUCUUCUUGCCUUUCUUCUGGU